GACGAACGCUGGCGGCGUGCUUAACACAUGCAAGUCGAACGGAAAGGCCCUGCUUUUGUGGGGUGCUCGAGUGGCGAACGGGUGAGUAACACGUGAGUAACCUGCCCUUGACUUUGGGAUAACUUCAGGAAACUGGGGCUAAUACCGGAUAGGAGCUCCUGCCGCAUGGUGGGGGUUGGAAAGUUUCGGCGGUUGGGGAUGGACUCGCGGCUUAUUAGCUUGUUGGUGGGGUAGUGGCUUACCAAGGCUUUGACGGGUAGCCGGCCUGAGAGGGUGACCGGCCACAUUGGGACUGAGAUACGGCCCAGACUCCUACGGGAGGCAGCAGUGGGGAAUAUUGCACAAUGGGCGGAAGCCUGAUGCAGCAACGCCGCGUGCGGGAUGACGGCCUUCGGGUUGUAAACCGCUUUCGCCUGUGACGAAGCGUGAGUGACGGUAAUGGGUAAAGAAGCACCGGCUAACUACGUGCCAGCAGCCGCGGUGAUACGUAGGGUGCGAGCGUUGUCCGGAUUUAUUGGGCGUAAAGGGCUCGUAGGUGGUUGAUCGCGUCGGAAGUGUAAUCUUGGGGCUUAACCCUGAGCGUGCUUUCGAUACGGGUUGACUUGAGGAAGGUAGGGGAGAAUGGAAUUCCUGGUGGAGCGGUGGAAUGCGCAGAUAUCAGGAGGAACACCAGUGGCGAAGGCGGUUCUCUGGGCCUUUCCUGACGCUGAGGAGCGAAAGCGUGGGGAGCGAACAGGCUUAGAUACCCUGGUAGUCCACGCUGUAAACGGUGGGUACUAGGUGUGGGGUCCAUUCCACGGGUUCCGUGCCGUAGCUAACGCUUUAAGUACCCCGCCUGGGGAGUACGGCCGCAAGGCUAAAACUCAAAGGAAUUGACGGGGCCCCGCACAAGCGGCGGAGCAUGCGGAUUAAUUCGAUGCAACGCGUAGAACCUUACCUGGGUUUGACAUGGAUCGGGAGUGCUCAGAGAUGGGUGUGCCUCUUUUGGGGUCGGUUCACAGGUGGUGCAUGGCUGUCGUCAGCUCGUGUCGUGAGAUGUUGGGUUAAGUCCCGCAACGAGCGCAACCCUUGUUCACUGUUGCCAGCACGUUAUGGUGGGGACUCAGUGGAGACCGCCGGGGUCAACUCGGAGGAAGGUGGGGAUGACGUCAAGUCAUCAUGCCCCUUAUGUCCAGGGCUUCACGCAUGCUACAAUGGCUGGUACAGAGAGUGGCGAGCCUGUGAGGGUGAGCGAAUCUCGGAAAGCCGGUCUCAGUUCGGAUUGGGGUCUGCAACUCGACCUCAUGAAGUCGGAGUCGCUAGUAAUCGCAGAUCAGCAACGCUGCGGUGAAUACGUUCCCGGGGCU
rnacentral:rRNA from 1 species